rnacentral:rRNA from 1 species
GAUGAACGCUGGCGGCGUGCCUAAUACAUGCAAGUCGAGCGAACAGACGAGGAGCUUGCUCCUUUGACGUUAGCGGCGGACGGGUGAGUAACACGUGGGUAACCUACCUAUAAGACUGGGAUAACUUCGGGAAACCGGAGCUAAUACCGGAUAAUAUUUCGAACCGCAUGGUUCGAUAGUGAAAGAUGGCUUUGCUAUCACUUAUAGAUGGACCUGCGCCGUAUGAGCUAGUUGGUAAGGUAACGGCUUACCAAGGCAACGAUACGUAGCCGACCUGAGAGGGUGGUCGGCCACACUGGAACUGAGACACGGUCCAGACUCCUACGGGAGGCAGCAGUAGGGAAUCUUCCGCAAUGGGCGAAAGCCUGACGGAGCAACGCCGCGUGAGUGAUGAAGGUCUUCGGAUCGUAAAACUCUGUUAUUAGGGAAGAACAAACGUGUAAGUAACUGUGCACGUCUUGACGGUACCUAAUCAGAAAGCCACGGCUAACUACGUG